AGUUCAUGUUGGUUUUUUUGGAGGGUGGACGUUUGCACGGAGUAACCGGGGAAUUCGUCAUCUUCAACAGCUUGAUAUUAUCCAUAGGGCAAGCGUAGUUAUGGCAGCUGUCUAUAAGCACGUUUCUCUCUUGUUGAUUAGCAAUAGAACAGCUAACUUCUUCCUUUCUUUUUUUGUCACGACUUUGCCUGGACAUGCCGAAAUAAAUUAUCCAAUUAUUAUUCCAGUCACAGGAAAGGUCUUAUAUCUUGAACAAAUAAAAAUAGUAAUGACUAAACUUUUUUUACAAUCUUUCUGAAGUUUGGCACGGAGCUCGGUAAAAAAGCAUCUGUUCAAGCCGCCAUCUUGGCACCUGUCCUCAAUUGCAUGGUUUUCCGAGUCGUAGUGGGAGGACAACACACAUAUCAUUGUGAUUCCAAGUUUACUUCGAUAUGUAUGACUUUGCACGCAUGGAAACGUGGUUAUUGAUAUUAACAGAACAGACAUAUAGAGCCACCAGACAGAGACACCCCAACCUGCCCAGGAUAUUGAAGGAACCUUGAGACAGAUCAUUCAGGUGAACAGUCGGAAGAGGAAAGAACUACAGAGCACAAAGACAAGAAAGGAAAGGGAAGAUACGUAGUCAGUUGUACAACUGAAUGCAUUCAACUGAAAUGUCUUCCACCAUAAUUUUCAAAUAAAUUCAUUAAAAAUCCUACAAUGUGAUUUUUCUGGAUUUUUUUUCU